GGGCUGGUGGGGGAUCGGCUACCCGGUCGCGCCGCAAGCGCUUCACAAGCUCGGUUCAAGUCCGAGCCCAGCCCUCCA
rnacentral:tRNA from 1 species